AUCUCAAAAAAACAAACAAACAAAAAAAAACAGCCCCGGAGCCCCGCCCAGCGUUUUGAAGCGAAAACCGGCUGUGGCAGCCUCCGAGUGGCACCGGGCGUGGGGCAGUUCCCACGCGGGACCGUGCAGCGAGCCGCGCGGGCGGGGCCAGAGCAGAAGCGGCAGUGGCCGCGGUCCAUGGGGCCCAGCUGAGCCGGGCACGUUCUCCAUGCCGCUGAACCCGCUGAAGGACAAGGAGCCCCUCAUCGAGCGCUUCGUCAAGCCUGGCAGUGAUGGUGAAAGCACAGGAAACUGCCCCCUUUCUCAGAGGCUCAAAGGAGUUGUAGUGAGUGUCACCGCCGUUGCCCUGGAAAGAAAGCCUGCAGACCUGCAGAACUUGGCUCCUUGGACCCAGCCACCAUUUAUAACUUUCAACAACGAUGUUAAAAGGGAUGUAAAUAAAAUUGAGGAAUUUCUUGAAGAAGUCUUAUGCCCUCCCAAGUACUUAAAGCUUUCACCAAAACACCCAGAGUCAAAAUACUGCUGGAAUGGACAUCUUUGCCUAAUUCUCUACAUGUAUCAAGAAUUCGAGGCCAGGGGCUAAUGAAGCACUGGAGAGGGGUCUCUUGAAAACAAUGCAGAAACUGGAUGAAUAUCUGAAUUCUGCACUCCCUGAUGAAAUUGAUGAAAAGAGUAUGGAGGACAUUAAGUUUUCUACAUGUAACUUUCUGGAUGGCAAUGAAAUGACAUUAGCUGAUUGCAACCUAUUGCCCAAAGUGCAUUAUUGUCAAGAUGGUGAGCCAAAAAUAUCACAACUGAAUGACUGGCAUCUGGAGAUACUUAACUAAUUCGUAUAGUAGGGAUGAGUUCACCAAUACCUGUCUCACUGAUAAGGAGGUUGAAAUAGCACAUAGUGAUGUAGCCAAAAGACUCACCAAAUAAAAUAGCUCCUAUGACAGAGAUAUCUUCAUGUCUUCCCCUAAGAAUAUGCUUUUCCUAACUGACCGCUCCUCUUCCUAGAGUAGAAAUUAUAUUUUGCAUGAACGUGCAGUUAUCCAAGAUUAGGGUCAAGCAUAGACAAGGUAUAGUAGUUAUCUUAAAAUAUACACUCCUAAGCAGUAUUAUUUUGAAAUCCUUUUGCCUUGCCUACCUCCCCUACCCAUAUCUCCCUCUCCUCUAAUUUGGAGACACUCUGUCACAAACUUUUCACGUUAGAGGUAGUUUGCCAUCUCUUGGGAGCCCUAAGCAUUGUGUCCAUUCACUGUGCACCCAUGGCAGAACUUCGGAGGUGCAAUGUUUAACUGUCAAAAUAGUAGCCACGACUUCAUCAGGUAGCCCCAAACUGGUGCAUAAUAUGUAGUACAAGGAAUAUCUAUGUAUUUUUUAAUUUUGUAAUAUUUAGUAAGAGUAUAUGAGAGGAUUGCUACUGUAUCAGAAAUAUUCUGUUUCCAUUUAGUCUAUCCUCUAUAUGUACUAAAGAAUAUUGCCACCAGAGAACAGAGAGCCUUGUACAGAAAGACACUACAGAUUUUGCUAUUUUGCUUUGUAGGUAGAUUUUUACUUUUGCCUAAAAGCAUUUAUCCUUCAUACUAAUUGAAACAUCUGACACUAUGUAGAAGCUAAAAGUUUAGAGGGAGAGAUGGUUUUCUCUCAAGAUCUUCUGCAAGCAUUUUAUCCUUUUAUAGAAACUGAUAGGCACCUAAGAUUCUGUAUUAAUGUGUUUGUUACAUAUAUUUUGCCCAGUGCCAUUCAUUUGGAACAUUAUUGCUUUUUUCUUUUAUUUAAAAAAAAAAACUCCUUUUUUAGGUAAGCAGAGAGCUUACUACUUGUAGAUCUUUUGAGCAACACUACAUAAAUUGAUACUUAGUUGAUUUAUCUAUAUCAGUACAAUGUUUAGUAAUGUAAAAAUUAACACAGAAAUUAACCUAAGGAAUGAAAGGUGCAUUUGUCAAAAUAGCAAGUAAAUUUUUGUUUCUAAAGCAUAUUUAAUGUAGAUGGUCUAAAGAAUGCAUUAUCCAUCCUAUAGUGAAACAAAAUAAAACACAGAUUACCAAUUUUCUUAUUUCACCUCAUUUACCUUACAUAGAGGAUUGUUCACUCCUUUUGGACUAAAUUAUAGUUGUUAUGGUGAAUGAGUAUUUACUGCAGUUUUGCCUGGUGUCAAUCAUCACACUUCCUUGACUUAAAUUUUUUUACAGUCAUGUUGAGGAAUAGCACUUGCAUGUGUUUUUGCUUUGUUUUGUUUUUUCUUUUUAAAUUGAAGUCCUAAAUAAGAAUUCUUUGUGCUCUAACAAGAGAGGAUGAACUUGGUGAAAAUAAAAAUUUGUUAUGCAUUUACUCUUUAAAAAAAAAAACAACAGACUUUCUGAGUACAAAUCUGAAGACUGUGCUUGUGACUAUAAUACAUUUUUGUAAUUUUUUAUACCCAACUUGUGUAGAAAGUGCUAUUUGUCAUGAGCUAUUUUUUGAAAUUUUAAGCAUAUUGCUUUAAAACGGCAGUGGUUUUCCCCUUUGAUAUGUUAAUACUUAGUAAGCACUGGCUUUAUAAUAGCAGCCUGACUUUUAUAAGCAUACUGCUUUUUUAACCUAUCAGUAAAUUAGCUUAGUAUUGAAAGAUAAAAAAAGCUCCAUAUUGUAUCCAUUUGGCUCAGGGAAAUUCCGUUGCCUUAUCUUUCUUAGAACUCCUAUUGCUGAUCAAAAAUGUGAGUACUUUUCUGUUAAUUAAAUAUUGGAUGAUGAUUUAUCUGGUUCCAGGAAGAUGCACUAUCCAUUUAUCUACUGCAAAAUUAUAUUACAGUAACUUCAGUGGGUGAAAGUGUCCCAUCUGUACCAGUACACAGGCAAGUAUCAUCACUAUUCAUCUACCUUUUAAAUAGUGGCAGCUUGGCAUUCAGGUGAUUCAGGUUGAACCUUGCCUUAUAGCUUAAAGUAUGAAAAAGAUUUGAGAGAAGGGGUAUCUGUUCUUUCUAGUGAAUGGUGGAUUAAGUAGUACAGGGUAGAGGGCUGGAGGGCUAACCGAGGAAAGAGCUCCAUUCUUAAAAUAGAGUGAUGACAAACCCAUUCUGAAAUUCAAAGUAUUUUCACUUUGGAUAUUUAUUCUCUUGAUUGUUUUUUAUUUAUCCAGUGAUUACACCUGGUUCUCUCUGGAUGUCCAAAAGACUUUGACAAAGACAGAAUUACUUGUCUCUGUAUAAAGACAGAUUUUAUUAUUACUUUAUCAGAGAAGUUAGUCAAAUGAAAUUGAGAUUGGCAGGUGGACAAAAGCUAGUAGAAAGGAUGAUCCCACAACAUUCUUUUACCUCAUUGUAUGUUUGUGGAAAGAUUAUAGCUUAAAAUAUUGAAAGAUUUGGGACAUAAAAGUUUUCAUGAAAAUAAGCACCACAUGUACUCACCAGCAAAUUGGUAUUAACUGAUCAACA